UACGUAGGGUGCGAGCGUUGUCCGGAAUUACUGGGCGUAAAGAGCUCGUAGGUGGUUUGUCGCGUUGUUCGUGAAAACUCACAGCUCAACUGUGGGCGUGCGGGCGAUACGGGCAGACUGGAGUACUGCAGGGGAGACUGGAAUUCCUGGUGUAGGCGGUGGAAUGCGCAGAUAUCAGGAGGAACACCGGUGGCGAAGGCGGGUAGCUGGGCCAACACUGACGCUGAUGCGCGAAAGCUAGGGUAGCAAACGGG
rnacentral:rRNA from 1 species